GUGGCGCCUCUUGGGAGGGGGUGCGCCUCACACAGAAAACCACGCGGCUCCGUUGUACAGACAGACACGAAAGCCAUUUUCUGCCUUAUUACCGCUCGAUCUCCGCCCCUCUGCGGGGGUGCCACGGCGAAAAUGCUCCGUUGUACAGCUCUUGUUCAACUUCGGGUCCUGUGUCUGACGAUGCUGCCUGACGGCGGCGCGCUCACGCCGGCGCUCCGUAAGUUGGGCUACACCCCGUACACCCUGCGCUCCACGUACCAGCAGGGCCACGCCAGCACCCACCCUAUCGAGUGGUCCCAGCUGCUGGAUGGCAAAACAAAUGCGUUGCCUGCCAAGGUGCUGGCGGACUACGACGCCGUCGUCGGCCCACCGGGUGCCAUGGUGUACGACGUGCUGCUACGCCAGGCACCGAGCUACACCAAGGUAAUCCUGGUCGAGGAGACGGAGAAAGAUAAGUGGGCAGAGAAGUACGACACAUAUCUGGAGCGCUUGCAGAUCUCGACGAAGCGCGCCUCGAAGAAUCGAAUAACGCAGGCCUUUCAGAACAUGAUCGCCAAGAUGGUCGUUGGUGGCGAUGCAUCAGGAGCGCCGGCGGCGGCCUCGGCUGGUCCUAGGUCGUCUCUGAGCACGAGACACUCUCGGAGCCACAUGAUAUCCUCCUCCGGUGACCUGCGCCGCUCCUUCGCUGCGGAGGCGGCGGAGUUGAAGCGAGGUUUUUGUGGCAGCAAGGCGCCCUCCCCCACAUCUGCGAGUGACCCUAGCGAGGAUUCUCGCGGCACGGCAAAGGCAAGACACGCAAAGAAGGAGAGCAACGCGAGUGAUGGCGAACUGCAGCAUCCGCGCGCUGUCGCGCUGCAGUUGUAUGAGGAGAGUGUGCGAGUGUCGAUUCCGCCCUCUGCGUUGCUUGUGUACCGCUACGGCGACGGCUGGGAGCCGCUCUGCUCCUUCCUCGACAAGCCCGUUCCCUCCAUCCCCUUCCCUGAGUACGAGGAUGGACUUCGUGUCCUCGGGAACCUGCAGGAGCGAAUCGAUCGGGCACACACAUUGCAGUAUGUGGUGGGCGGCAUCUGUGUUCUGUGCGUCCUGAUGACGGUGCUGCCGCGUUGCGAGGGUAUUGUGGAGUUUGUGAAAAGCCUGUACACGGACUACCAAGUGGCAUUCGGCGCUGACAGUGCCGCAUGCGCUAGGACGACGGCCGGAGGCGGUUGCUCGAAAACGGAGGUAGAGACGUUUGAGACCGCGUGGCAGAAACGUGGCGGCUCUGUGACGCGCACCGCGAAGGAGUGAGGGAGUCCGGUGAAAUCGCUUCUGUAUACUUGUGCGUGUCUACAAUGGAAAAGCGAACUGGAGGCGGUGGUGGUGUGAUUGGGGCAACUGUUCACACAAUGCGUAAUCCAGCAAG
rnacentral:misc_RNA from 1 species